AUACGGAGGAUGCGAGCGUUAUCCGGAUUUAUUGGGUUUAAAGGGAGCGUAGGUGGGAUAUUAAGUCAGCUGUGAAAGUUUGGGGCUCAACCUUAAAAUUGCAGUUGAUACUGGUUUCCUUGAGUACGGUACAGGUGGGCGGAAUUCGUGGUGUAGCGGUGAAAUGCUUAGAUAUCACGAAGAACUCCGAUCGCGAAGGCAGCUCACCGGGCCGGAACUGACACUGAUGCUCGAAAGUGCGGGUAUCAAACAGGAUUAGAUACCCUGGUAGUCCGCACAGUAAACGAUGAAUACUCGCUGUUUGCGAUACACUGUAAGCGGCCAAGUGAAAGCGUUAAGUAUUCCACCUGGGGAGUACGCCGGCAACGGUGAAACUCAAAUGAAUUGACGGGG
rnacentral:rRNA from 1 species